rnacentral:rRNA from 1 species
UACGAAGGGUGCAAGCGUUACUCGGAAUUACUGGGCGUAAAGCGUGCGUAGGCGGUUUGUUAAGUCUGUCGUGAAAGCCCCGGGCUCAACCUGGGAAUGGCGAUGGAAACUGGCGAGCUAGAGUACGGUAGAGGAGAGUGGAAUUCCCGGUGUAGCAGUGAAAUGCGUAGAGAUCGGGAGGAACAUCGGUGGCGAAAGCGCUCUACUGGACGACAACUGACACUCAGGGACGAAAGCUAGGGGAGCGAAUGGG